CUCUUCCCGGCUCCAGAGGGGCCGCUCAGCACCACAGGCCUCGGUCCUGACAUUGUUCUGAGACACAGAAGGAAAAAGUGCUGGAGCUCAUCUAUCCUGUUAGCUGGCCUGAGGUGAAGUAAGGUUAAUCCUUUCAUCCACAACACCGUCAGRAGGUGGCAUCCCAGCAUUCCACAUAGACGAAGAAAAUACACCUGGAACUGUCCUUCUGUGUUUGCCU